rnacentral:rRNA from 1 species
UCUAAGGAGACUGCCGGUGACAAACCGGAGGAAGGUGGGGAUGACGUCAAGUCCUCAUGGCCCUUAUGGGUAGGGCUUCACACGUCAUACAAUGGUCGGUACAGAGGGCUGCCAAACCGCGAGGUGGAGCUAACCCCAGAAAACCGAUCGUAGUCCGGAUCGCAGUCUGCAACUCGACUGCGUGAAGCUGGAAUCGCUAGUAAUCGCGGAUCAGCAUGUCGCGGUGAAUACGUUCCCGGGUCUUGUACAC